CUCCAGGGGCGAUAAAUGCCCCAAAUAGUGCUAUCAAUCUUACUGGACAAGCGGGAACCCUAUUGUAGAGAUGUGCCUUAUGCCGAGGAGGAGGAAGAAGGGAUAAUUUACUUCGCACUUGCCCAGUACUGUAUUUCGGGUUGACACAUCUCUAGAAUCUGACGCCUUCCCUUUUCCCUAAUUAGCUAUCACCUGGGGUGACGACUCCAAGGAAUCCACACAACUGGAUUCUGUACUUUUUUACCAGCUGUAGGACCAACUGCAGACUGCGAGUCUUUCUCUGAAGCAUCACUUUACACGAGCCAGAAACUAUAAUUUCCACUUUGCUGCACCUCUGAGUACAGGCAGCAGGAAGUGAUUCAAAGGCCACACGGACAGGACGGAAACCCACGGCUUUAAAAGAUUCUUGCCAUGGAAUGAAAAAACUUCUCCGAAUGACUAAUCUUUUUACACCAAAAACCACAGCGUGUCUCAGCACUCGCCCUACGUGGAGGCACGGAGUCUGGGAGGGGGACUGAACCCGUCGGAAGAGGUCGGCCGAGGCCUGCAGAGGCCCUUCCUGGGCUGCCCACCGGCAGCAACGAACCAUGUUCAGCCGCGAGCCGCGGCGGCAGCCCCAGACCUACCUUCAAGGUCUUCACGGCCACCGUCAGGCUGUAUUUCUUCCACACGCCCUCGUACACCUCUCCGUACUGGCCGCCUCCCAGCUUGUGCUUCAUGGUGAUGUCCGUGCGUUCCAUCUCCCACUUGUCGUAGUUGGGGGACACGCCGUAGACGGUGGGCUUGUUGCGCUUGGGGGCUGGGUAAUGGAGAGUGGUGAUGAGCCCGUCCGCCACAGUCGAGUGAUGAUGAACCAACUCCGCCAAAGUGUUGAAGCGGCUCUCUGAGGAGACGUAGAGCUGAGGGAAACAGAGACAGCACAGCCUUCAGCCCACGGGCACACACACACCCAGACACCUCUGCUGAGCCUAAGUGAGUGUACAGAAAAUCACUUAGACUGUGCUCCUCGACACUUGCUGUAAUUUACUUGCUGAAGCAGAAAGAUACAAUAAAAUACCUCAGGGCCUUUGCACCU